AAUCAACGCUGGCGGCGUGCCUCAGACAUGCAAGUCGAACGCGAAAGUCCCCUUCGGGGGACAAGUAGAGUGGCGCACGGGUGAGUAACACGUAGGUAAUCUACCUUCGGAUGGGGAAUAACAACCGGAAACGGUUGCUAAUACCGCAUAAUGCAGCGGCACCUAACGGUGACAGUUGUUAAAGCGGGGGAUCGAAAGACCUCGCGUCUGAAGAGGAGCCUGCGGCGGAUUAGCUAGNGGUAAGGUAACGGCUUACCAAGGCGACGAUCCGUAGCCGGCCUGAGAGGGCGGUCGGCCACACUGACACUGACAUACGGGUCAGACUCCUACGGGAGGCAGCAGUCGGGUAAUUUUGGGCAAUGGGCGAAAGCCUGACCCAGCAACGCCGCGUGAAGGAU
rnacentral:rRNA from 1 species